rnacentral:lncRNA from 1 species
GGAUAUUAUUUGUAUGGAUUGCAAAAGAAAUACAUAUUGUUUUAGAAAAUGGUUUAUUGGCAAUUACUACUAAACUUCAAUCAUCUUUACUCCACCAUAAAUCUUACAUGCAACUAAUCAUGUAGGACACACAAAAUUUUUACUCCAGGAUAAAAUUUGUGCGCAGACACAAAAAAAUCACAUGUGAGUGCAAAUCUUGGGAGGAGUCUAGCUGCGUGAAAGAAGUACCAGCCUGCAAACAAGAACAAAGGCAGUCUAAAUACUCAGGUACCAGGAAAUCAACCCAGAAAACCAACUCAAUCAAUUUAUGUACUGGAUCAUAUGCCAACACAUUUUCAUAGAUCCCUAUUAAAUACUGGUGCCAUCAUCUCCACAAACCGGGAAAAAAAAUUCUAAGAGACCUGGUCUUUUUUACACUGUCCAAGGAAUGCCACGUCUCAACACGAAUCACAAAGCACCCUGGGUCUUGGGUCUUCUUCCUCGGACAACGACUUCGUUCUUUUUCCCUGAUGGAAUCUUCCAGUUUAUUGCUUGGUCAGUACUCAGUAGUUAGUAGCAUCCUUCACGAGUAAUACCCCGACACGCCAUCUCACACAGCUCCAUCCUCCCCUCAGAUCUAGAAGUACUUCGAUCCCCAAAGCUCUUAGCUCGUUAUGUCAUGGCCCUCAUGCAUCCUUUCCUCUCACGAAACUCCUCAGCUAAAAAAUAAAAAAUUAGUCUGUUUGUCUACGUACUUGUUUAAAUCAAUUUGACAGAUCAACAAUUAAAUGGUCUUAUCUUAAGCAGUUUAAUUGAUCGAUCUGCACAUGUGAUUGUGAUUAAUUAGUAGCUGCGAUAAGCUAAUACAGACAUACAGCAGGCCACGGAGUAAAGCAGCAUGCGCAGGAAGGCCUUCCCUCGGCCGGCAUGGGGGCUCAGCCUCUACAUGCGUUAGUGGAGAACAUGGCAGCCGUAAUUUUGACAAGGAUGAGAAGCAGCCGGCUACAGAAUUAUUUUCCAAACCCACAAACCCGUGUGAGUUGCAACCUCCAUAAACAGAAUGGCCUUGUUGUUCACUGAAGAGGGAGAGUAGCAGUAGCUAUAC